rnacentral:misc_RNA from 1 species
GAUGAAGAACGUAGCGAAAUGCGAUAAGUAAUGUGAAUUGCAGAAUUCAGUGAAUCAUCGAAUCUUUGAACGCACAUUGCGCCCGCCAGUAUUCUGGCGGGCAUGCCUGUUCGAGCGUCAUUUCAACCAUCAAGCCCUGCUUGCGUUGGGGUCCUGCGGCUGCCCGCAGGCCCUGAAAACCAGUGGCGGGCUCGCUAGUCACACCGAGCGCAGUAAUACAUCUCGCUUUGGGCGUGCGGCGGGUUCUUGCCGUUAAACACCCCCUUUUUACCAAGGUUGACCUCGGAUCAGGUAGGAAUACCCGCUGAACUUAAGCAUAUCAAUAAGGGAGGA